GUGGGGAAUCUUGCGCAAUGGGCGAAAGCCUGACGCAGCCAUGCCGCGUGAAUGAUGAAGGUCUUAGGAUUGUAAAAUUCUUUCACCGGGGACGAUAAUGACGGUACCCGGAGAAGAAGCUCCGGCUAACUUCGUGCCAGCAGCCGCGGUAAUACGAAGGGGGCUAGCGUUGCUCGGAAUUACUGGGCGUAAAGGGCGCGUAGGCGGACAGCUUAGUCAGAGGUGAAAGCCCAGGGCUCAACCUUGGAAUUGCCUUUGAUACUGGCUGUCUUGAGUUUGGUAGAGGUGAGUGGAACUCCGAGUGUAGAGGUGAAAUUCGUAGAUAUUCGGAAGAACACCAGUGGCGAAGGCGACUCACUGGCCCAAUACUGACGCUGAGGCGCGAAAGCGUGGGGAGCAAACAGGAUUAGAAACCCUUGUAGUCC
rnacentral:rRNA from 1 species